UCCCUAUUUCCUCUAUGAAAGAGCAGCUUUCUUUGUUCCCUGGACUUGCCUCUGGUUUGGCUGUAGCUUGCUUGUCCCAAAUGGCAACUCUGGUACUCCUGAACAGACCCAUUUUGUUGUUAAAAGAACAGACAGUUUUAAGAUUAAUAGCCCUUGGUGAUCAGAAGUGGGAUCCAGAGAAGAUUCCCCUCCCCACCCCCCAACCAACAACUCUAAGGCUGGUGAACAAACAGGGACUUGUACCUACACAACCAGUUGAGCUCACUGCGUCCUGCCAUCCCUGGAGUCUGAAGUGUAAUCCUGGGAGACAAAGACCCUACAAAUCACACUUUGCAACCUGGAGAUACUGUCUAUUGGAAAAGAUACCUCCAGAAAGACUCCUUUCAACCUUGCUAGAAAGGCCUUGUCAAUUCUGUUGACCAGCCAUUCUGCCAAACUCCAGGGAAGAGACUCUUGGACUCAUGUGACACAUCAAAAGGAAGCACCAAACUAGACUGGACCUGCACACCCAUCUGGUGACCUGAAAGGAAAGACUUCUUGGAAUUGGAGUGGAUGACAUGUGUCAAGACAACUUUCCCAAGAUGUUUGCAUGAGGCUUAACGUUUUCUUACUCUUUGCUUCUUUGAUCCCUUUUAUGAAAAGAAAAUUACCUUGUCCAUACUUCCCAAACCCUUGUGAAAGGUGGGGGGGACCUCUUAUUUGGAUUAUGGCCUUUUGGAAACAGUAUCAUCAUGAUCCUGUAAACAUUUGCAAGGGUUAGAUGGUUCAGAACUCAUAAAAGCCUUUCCUUCAUCUGAA